UACGUAGGGUCCGAGCGUUGUCCGGAAUUACUGGGCGUAAAGAGCUCGUAGGUGGUUUGUCGCGUUGUUCGUGAAAACUCACAGCUCAACUGUGGGCGUGCGGGCGAUACGGGCAGACUAGAGUACUGCAGGGGAGACUGGAAUUCCUGGUGUAGCGGUGGAAUGCGCAGAUAUCAGGAGGAACACCGGUGGCGAAGGCGUGUCUCUGGGCAGUAACUGACGCUGAGGAGCGAAAGCGUGGGGAGCGAACAGG
rnacentral:rRNA from 1 species